rnacentral:rRNA from 1 species
UACGAAGGGGGCUAGCGUUGUUCGGAAUCACUGGGCGUAAAGCGCACGUAGGCGGAUCUUUAAGUCAGGGGUGAAAUCCCGAGGCUCAACCUCGGAACUGCCUUUGAUACUGGGGAUCUCGAGACCGGGAGAGGUGAGUGGAACUGCGAGUGUAGAGGUGAAAUUCGUAGAUAUUCGCAAGAACACCAGUGGCGAAGGCGGCUCACUGGCCCGGAACUGACGCUGAGGUGCGAAAGCGUGGGGAGCAAACAGG